rnacentral:tRNA from 1 species
GCGGGAUUAGUUAAGUGGCUUAAUAUCACCUUCCCAAGGUGAAGACACGGGUUCAAUUCCCGUAUCCCGCUCAA